UAUGGCCACAUCAUACUGAAACACCAGUUCCAAUAUGAUCACCAAGGGUAAGCAACGACUAGCCUGGUUAGUACCUAGAUGGGUGCCUGCUUGGGAAUACCAGUUGCUGUAAG